AUAUAUCAACCUCUUCAAGUUUUGGCUUGCUGAGUGGUAUGGAUGUGGGGGAAUUAUUUUGCUGGCUUGAGGUCAGCUCCCCUGAAAUGCAUUGGCAAAACGAUUUGCUGUCAUUGGUGUGAUAACCUAUCUACGCUAUUGACAUUGAAGCAGUUCAGCUUAUAACAGUCCAUUUACUUGGACAAUCUUAUUA
rnacentral:misc_RNA from 1 species